UUUUUGCAUUUUGGUUUAUAACUUCUCUCAGUUUUCUCUCCAACCUCUACCACACAUUGUAAUUGAGGAAGCUAAGUGAUGUAGUGGAUAGAGUGCUGGACUUAGAGUCUGAAAGUCCUGAGUUUGAUUCCUACCUCAGACAUUUACUAACUGUAUGACCUUGGGUGGAAGCGGAAGGCUGCAGAAUGCUGAGUGGAGAGGCUGGAGAGGGGGAAGAGAGCCCAAUAUUAUAUGACUUCAAAGGGGUUUUUUACUCAGGAGAUGUUUAUAAAACAUGUGGAAUAAUUGACUUCCUGCCUUCGCUUCCCCAUAUUCUUACAUGGAAGAAAAGCAGGGACAAUGAGAGGCAGUGAAGCUAAGCAGAUAGAAGUCCUAUCUUCUUAUCAAGAACCAGUUUCAAAUUUGACUCUGAUACAUCAUACUAUACCCCAGGUAUGUCUCAGUGCUCCAGAAAAUUUUCCAAGACUAUCAAGUACCUAACUCUCCCCCCAUAAAGAU
rnacentral:lncRNA from 1 species